UACAGAGGUCUCAAGCGUUGUUCGGAUUCAUUGGGCGUAAAGGGUGCGUAGGCGGCGCGGUAAGUCGGGUGUGAAAUUUCGAGGCUUAACUUCGAAACUGCAUUCGAUACUGCCGUGCUAGAGGACUGGAGAGGAGACUGGAAUUACGGUGUAGCGGUGAAAUGCGUAGAUAUCGUAAGGAAGACCAGUGGCGAAGGCGGGUCUCGUGGACAGUUCCAUGACGCUGAGGCACGAAGGCCAGGGGAGCAAACGGG
rnacentral:rRNA from 1 species